CACAACGACGCCCGAAAACCAAGCGGGACGCGGAUACAUAUGAGCUCAUUGUGCUGGGAUCCACCAUAUGGCGCGGACCGCUUCAUGGUUACAUUAUGGAAUAAUGGAGGACAUCUAUGCUGUCUGCUGCUUUGGUCACUACAUACGGAGUCCUUUGCUUCAUCUACAAAAGCUGCCUGGGACGGUUAAUAAUUUCCCCUCAAAGUUGUCUUAUUUGCCUUGUAACCUGCAGCCUACUUAGGUAAAUGUAUGAAUAUUAGCAAAUCUUUGCUAAAAGAAGAAGAAGAAGAAAAAAAAAGAGCUUUCCCUCCCUGUUUUCUGUCUGCAGGCCAGGGCGGCUGCAGAAUAAUAAGGUUACAGGCGCAAUAAGAGGUUUCUUCCAGUUGUCUGUGUUUUUCCUGAAACAGAAUGAACAGCACUCCUAUGUUUUUGUGCAAAUCUCUCUCCGAGCAGCGGGUUGCGUCUCUCCGUGUUCACAGCGGACCUUGAUUUAAUGUCUUACAAUUAAGGCACGCGGUGAAUGCCAAGAGAUGACCCUCCUCUCUUCGAAAAGACAUCACGGACAUCAUGAAAUCAUUGAACUGUAUUUUUUUUUUUUUUUCAGUUUAUAAUGUAUGUACUGCCUGUGUUUUUUUUUUUC